GCCGCCCUCGGGCUGGCGGAGGCGCCGGAGGAGCCCCCGAGCUGCAGCCGUCUCCCUCGGGCUGCUGCCGGUGCUGCGGGCGGAGGCGGCUCCGCCGCGUGUUGGGCGCUGCGAGCAGGGAGCGCUGCGGUAUCGCCGGCAUGACGGGGCUGCUGCCUGCGUUAGUGCUCGUGGCUCUUUGUGCCGUGACAGCGGAUGGAGCGGCGCUGAGCGGGACACCCAGAGAUGGCCGGGAGAAUGCCCAGCGCAGGGAGCGGGCGGGCUGUGUGCUUCGGAUGGCACAGGUGCGAGCUGCAAAGUCACCCCCCCUUCCGCCCCUGCCCUCCCGAGCCCCGGAGAAAAUGCUUUCCAGCAUUGUCGAGCUUCUGAAAGACAAAACUUGUGAUUUGACACUAGCAUCCAGAAAAGGUUUCUGUCUAGAUUAGCAAAUGCCUAAAUUGUUCUUGGUUACAUCCCAUGACCGGUUUUAGGCAGUGACUUCAUACUGCUUUUAGGAUUUUCUUGUACACUGGUGAGAAAAUAGGCAGGUCUGAUAGUGGUUUCACUUUUUUUCUACUUCACGUUCCAUAAGAUUCUUUUAUCCAAGCGAUUGUUUUAAAAUUCUACUGUAAGCGUUUGUGGUUCACUUUUUUUUUCUUUGCAGCACCCGGGCCUUUUUUUUUUUCUCUAAAUCGGGAGUAAAUAUAGCUGAGUAAAAUUACCUUGGUUAUCUUCCUUCUUUUUAAACUUAAUUGUUUUUAUUAAUAAUUCUAUCUGAAUAUGCAGAAAAAGUGAGUAUGUCCUGUAAUCUAUGCUAGCUUUUCUCGUUUACAGGGUACUCACAAAAUAUGUCUCCCUUAGUGUCCCACAGAAACAUUCUGGGUGCAAUCUGAAUUAAGGUAUGUGUUUUCAAAUAAGUAAUCAGUUUAGAUAUUUGCCUGUGUACCUUUUCCUGUAAUUCAGAGCUUGUGUUCUGUGGGUUUUAUGAUAAACCUGUAAAACAUGUAAGAAUGGUUUUGCAAGUCUGAAUCGUUGAAGGCAGCAAUAAGUGGAUUUAAAGCCUGUUCUUGAGCAGACAAAGGGGAAAAGUGUGACUCUGAUGCUGAACUUGUCAUUUUUCAUUUGACUUGCCUUUAAUUAUUGAAGAAGAGAGAGAACUAGGAAAAGAAAUAGAAUUGAUUAUUGAGCACUCCUAAAAAGCUCACCAUGAUUCUGUGUAGAGCCAAAGUGAAGGAUGAUGGAACAGAGCUCUGUGCAUUAGAAGGAAAUAAACCUGAUGUCCACACAGAGUCUUACUAAUUUCUGUUUUUAAAAUGCAAAAUAAGUUUAGGAAGUGUUGGAAGUUAGUAUUUUGGGAAAGAAAUGGCAGUUCCACAAAACAUUCCAUUCCAUUUAAGAGAGGCCCUUGGACUGAUUCAUGUUGUAACUGCUGUCACUGCAAUCAGUUGGUGGUUCAGCCUUGAAACGUGCACUUGGCCUUCUAUAAAGCACUGUUUUGUUUGCCUUUCAGUGCUAUGAGUCUUGAUAAAUUGGAGAAGUGCCCAAGAGAAAUUCAUCAUCCUGAGAUACAAAAGGUAGGAAGUGACUUUUUCUGGUUUGGUUCUUUUUCUUUAUUGUUUUCUGGAAAUAGAAGUAAUUAAGUAUAGAUACUACUGGUUUGUUUCUUCCAGUAGCUGAUAAUACUAAUACCAAUAAUAAUAAUAAUAAUAAUAGUAAAGUAAUACUACUUCAACUGUCUUUAUUUAUCCAUUGAACUGGCCAUUUUAAAUCUAAACUUCUAAACACAAAUCAAACCAUCAUCCUUGUAGAAUCUUUAAUAGGAGUGGGCUAAAGAUCCUGGUUUUGUUGACAGGAUUUAUUGGUUCAUGAACAGCAAGAGGUAAGUACAAGCCUAACUACCCUCUAGCUCACAGACCUGCCCGGUGAAUAGAGCUUUGUUUUUUUGAUGGGCUUGUGAUGACUUUGAGAUCAAUUGCUCAUUCAUUACAGUAAAAAAAAAAAAAUUGUUUUGAACAUGACAGCAAAAAUAACUUUAAGCACAACUUAAUAAUAAUAAUAGAUCACCAAUUUUAGUUAAUAAUUUUAUGCUAUACUCUUGGGUGAGGGAAGACUCGGACACUCAAUAUGAGAUCAGCAAGCUAUGUUUAUUGCAGAGAGUAUCAGACACUUAUACAGCACAUAAUAAGCUUAUGAAUAUUCUGUAAGCCAAGCGAUCUAUUGGUUAAACUAUACCAUCAACUCUUCCUCAUUCCUUUGGGCCUACAUUCCCUAUUUCCCACGUCUCUCUGUCUACUUGUUAUCCUACCCAGCUAGGCCCAGGCACACGCUAUCUUGCAGGUGCAAAACUCAAAAAUACCUGUGUUCGGUACUUUCCCAGCUCCUGGUCGGCUAACGAGCGAAUGUCUGCGUGACCUCUGUCAUGGAGCCAUUUCUCCACACUAUACUAUCAAAGUUUAAAGGUAAAUUAUUAUAUAUUAGGAGAUGGUGUAAAGUGUAUGUUGUAAUGUGUAGGAUAUAUACAAAGAUACGUACUUGAAAGUCCGUAGAGGAAACAAAUUUUUACGCCUUCUGUUUGACUGUUUGUCAUAUAUUUGGUUUUAUUUCCCAGGGAUCAGUGAAUUUUAACUCUGGAGUCCUCUAUGCUAAGGAUGCUCAGCUUAGAGAUGAUGAAAUGUUCAGUAAUGUAUUUGCUGCAGCUCUGCUUACCCAAGCUUUGGGUUCCCUCUGUCUCACUGGGAGUUGCCCAAUUCAGUUGCAUCUGGUGAAAUUCACCCUGAGACCUUACAGAACCAGCUCCAACUACGUGAGAGCCAUUUGCAGUUCUCUCCAGACACCUGGAGAAUGGGCGACAUUUCUGAGAAUCCGGCGAGCGUGCUUCUAUCAAAACUCAGUCUGUGAAAUUCCUGGGGAAAACCCUUCUGUGUCCUGAAGGGUUCAAACUCUGGUGAGGAUCCAGUUAUCAGGUGCUCACCUGGAUGGUUCCAGCUCUUAAAGUGAACACUUGUACUCUUGCCCUGUAGUUUACAUCUAUUGUAUUUUUGUUAUUUUGCAGGAUUUUUUGUCUUUGCAAAAUAUUGUGCAUUUCACUCUUUGGAACCUCUCAGAUGGUUCUCUGGUGCAGCACCACCCCAUGGGACACUUGGCUGCUGUCCUGAAGGGUUUGGUCGCUAGAAUUGUGAAUCCUGGAGAGUUUGUGAGUCUUCUGUCCCCAGGGAGGUACCAUGCUUUGUUUACUUUUUGUUCUGUUGGUUAGGCGCUGCUUCUCGUUGCAAGUACGAAUUUCAAACUGCCCUGUUCUUUUUUUAACUGUUUUCCUGGUUCUCUCCGUCCGGCAGGGAAAGACUCUCGUAUCCUUGUCAUCGGGCUCGGUGCUGUCCAAGAAGAUACAGAGACUAAAAAAAUCAUAAGAAGCAAAAUAUGACUGCAGGGAAAAGAAGCUGGAGAGAACAGAAGACUCAUCACGGCGGGACAGCGUGAAGACUGAAAGUGUAAGAAGAUGUGGAGGGAAACAGAGAAUCUGACAGGAGCAUCGGAGGGACGAGUGCACGAAUUUUGCUUUUUGCUUGGAUGUAAACUCAGGAGUUGAGAGGAAUUUGGGAGUGAGAAGGGACAUCUCAGAAGGAGAAGAAGAAAAAGAGGUUGUUGCUACAGUCCUGGCAAAAUCUUUUGUUCUAGCUAAUAAAAGAAGUUAGUUUAAAAAACAAAAAGGAAAAAAUGUAGUGUUUUUUUUUUCCUUCACUAUGAUAUUCAUUGGUGGUAUAUGGUGUGUUGUUUCAUUUCUUGGUAUUAUUAACUCUGUGUAAAUUGUUUUUUGAGUGAAGCUGACUUUCUGGAUGGGUUGGUUUGUAUUUGAGGCAGGAUUAAUUUCAGUAGGGUUCUUUCAUAGAUUUCUGAUGGGUAUUACUGGGAUUUUGGUUUUGUUUACUGUAUGUAUGAACCUAGAGCUUUGGUAGGGCCAGCUGGGCUGCUGGAGUUUUGGGUGUGUAUUUAUUAGAUGGCUUUUGUUAGAUGCAGUUUUUAAUUUUUGAAAUGUUUUUCAAUGUAGUGGUUUUAAGGUGGUUUUUAAGAAUUCAUUGUAUUGCUUUAUCUUGUUUGUAGUUGGUGUAUGAUAAGGGAUGUGGUGUGAGUUCUUGAACAUUAUGGUUUUGGUGUUCCUAAGUUCUGAUUUCUUUGUGGUUCAAUAGCUUUUUUUAUUUUUAUUUUUUGGGACAGGGGCAUUUAUAUGGUGGGUUUUUAUAGGCAAUAUGUUUUUUAAUUUAGGUAGUGAUAUUUUUUAAUAUUUUAAUAGUUUAGGUUUUUUAUUUUCAUGGUUUUAAUUAUUUUUUUUAAUUUUUUGAAAUAACUUUUAUAGAUUACAUGUUAUUAUUUGUGCAUUAACAUAAAGGUAGAGCUUUGGGGACUUUUUUUAGUAAUGUUUAGGGUCAGUUGUGCAGUUUUGAGUCUAGUGCGUUGGUUUGAUUUAAUUUUUAAUGGGUGUUUGUUUUUAUUAGCAGUUGUGUCAUUUUCAGGGUGUGUUUGAGUUUUUUGGGGUUUUUGAGAUACUGGUUUAGGAGGAAGUUUAUGAUGAGCAUGUGCGGAGGUUUUGGGCUACUUUAUAGUGGGAUUUAAAAUUUAUUUACAGUUAGGUUUAUUUGAGUUUUUAUUAGGGUUCAGUGACGUUGUGGGAUGUUUGUUCCGUUAGUAACAGAAAUAGGUUUUGUUUUGCUGUGCUGCGAUGGGAUGGGCGUGUGCUGCGUGCCGGUGCUGACAAAGGUACAGUAUUGUUGUGGCUCUGGUGCGUCGGGUUAAUGAACUGACAUGGUUUAAUGUAGAGAUGAAAAUAGAAAUAAAUAUACAUUUAAAAAUAAAUAUAACAUUAGAGUGGUAAACAUAAAUAUAGAUAACAGAUACAUACAUAAAACUAUAAUAUAUGGUAUAUAAUUGUAACAUGUUAUCAUAUAGAUAAAUGAUAGUCUAUUUUAUAUAUAUAUACACAAAGAUAUAUAAAUAUAGAUUGUAAAUAUAAAAAUAUUUAAAUAGAGUUAAAGUAAAUUGGGCAGUUUUAUUAGGGUAUAGGCUGGGGUUUUUAAAUGAUAGCAAUAAAAUAUAAAUUCAGAUAUACAAAUAUAUAUAGAAAUACAAAUAUCUAUACAUAUUUAAUUUAAACAAAUAUAAGUAAGAAAAUAUGUAUAAUACAGAAAAUAUAUUUCUAUGAUUAUAUUAGAAGGUAUUCCCUCUAAUAUAGAUAAAAUCUAUGCAUAAAAUAAAUAAAAAUAUCCAUAUAAAUAUCAUUAUAAUUUUGAAAAAUAAAUUUACUUCGUAAAUUUUAAAUCUGGUUCAAAUAAAGGGGUGUCCUUGGUUUUUAUUUGGUUAGAGGCAGGAGUUUUAUUUUAAAUAAUAUAAGCAAUAUAGAAAUGUGGAUCUUAAGAUAGAAAUAUAUAAUAAAUAUAUAAAGAGAAAUUGCUAAACUAUGAAUAUAAAUUUAAAUAUAAAUAUAUGUAAGUAAUAUGAGGAGUUGUGGCAUGGAAUAUAAAUAACAUUAAAUGGCAAUAUAAAUUAUAAAUGGGAAUAUAAAUAUAAAAAUAUGUAAAUAUCGUUUAAAAGAAAUGGAAUGUUUUGGCUUUUAUUUAAGUAGAGGCAGGGUUUUUAAUUUGAAUAUUAUACGUGUUCCAGAAGUAAAAAUCUUGACGCAGAAAUAUUUAAUCCAUAUAAAAAUAUGAAUAAAAAAAUAUAAAAAAUAUAAAUACCUACUCGCAUCGGAUGUAAUAUAGAAUAUAAAUUUAUUUAUAAAUUGACAUUGGUAAAGAUAAAUAUAUAAGUAAGCAAUAUACAUUAAUAUACAUUAUAAAUACAAAUAUGAAUAUAACAAUUGAACAUUAGGAUAAAAUCUAUUUAAAUAUUUUUUAAAAGAAAGGGUUCGGUUUUUUUUUAUUGUUGUGUUAGAGGCAGGGUUUUUAUUUUAAAUAGUAUGAAUGUAGAUAUUGUUAUAUAUUUCUAAAUAUUGAGAUAUACAAUCAAGAUAUAAAUAUAUAUAUAAACACAAAAUAUAAAUAAAUACAAAUAAUAGGAAGUGAUGUAAUGAAGAAUACAAAUAACAGUAUACAUAAGUAUACAUUUUAAAUGUAAAUGUGAAUAUGAACCUGAAAAAUAGAAUUUUAUAAAAUAUUUAAGUACAGUUUGGAAGAAAGGGGUUCUUUUUGGCUUUAAUGUGGAUGGAGGCAAAGGUUUUAUUUUAAAUAAUCCAAGUGUUACCGAAGUAAAAAUCGUAACAGAAAUGUAUACUUACUAUGUGAAAAUAUUUAUAAAAAUAUACAAAUAAAUUUAAGUUUUAGGGAUAUAUGCAAUAUGGAAUAGAAAUGUAUUUAUAAAAAGAAAUGUAUAAAUGGACAGUGUACAUCAAUAUACGUUGUAAAUAGAAAUGUGAA